rnacentral:rRNA from 1 species
CCUACGGGAGUCAGCAGUGGGGAAUAUUGCACAAUGGGGGGAACCCUGAUGCAGCGACGCCGCGUGAGUUAAGAAGUAUGUCGGUAUGUAAAGCUCUAUCAGCAGGGAAGAAAAUGACGGUACCUGUCUAAGCAUCCCCGGCUAACUACGUGCCAGCCGCCGCGGUAAUACGUAGGGGGCAAGCGUUAUCCGGAUUGACUGGGGGUAAAGGGGGCGCAUACGGCUGUGCAAGUCUGGAGUGAAAGGCGGGGGCCCAACCCCCGGACGGCUCGGGAAACUGUAAAGCGUGAGUGCGGGGGAGGUAAGCGGAAUUCCUAGUGUAGCGGUGAAAUGCGUAGAUAUUAGGAGGAACACCAGUGGCGAAGGCGGCUUACUGGACUGCAACUGACGUUGAGGCUCGAAAGCGUGGGGAGCAAACAGGAUUAGAUACCCUAGUAGUC